rnacentral:rRNA from 1 species
GAUGAACGCUAGCGGCAGGCUUAACACAUGCAAGUCGAGGGGUAGGUUACUUCGGUAAUUGAGACCGGCGCACGGGUGCGUAACGCGUAUACAAUCUACCUUUUACAGAGGGAUAGCCCAGAGAAAUUUGGAUUAAUACCUCAUAGUAUUUUUGAAUCGCAUGAUUUGAUUAUUAAAGUUCCAACGGUAAAAGAUGAGUAUGCGUCCCAUUAGCUAGAUGGUAAGGUAACGGCUUACCAUGGCUACGAUGGGUAGGGGUCCUGAGAGGGAGAUCCCCCCACACUGGUACUGAGACACGGACCAGACUCCUACGGGAGGCAGCAGUGAGGAUAUGGUCAAUGGGCGC